UGGAUUUCUCCUUUUGUCCUUAUUAAAAUCUCAUUCUUGAAGGUCCAAAACAGGUUCCACUACUUCUUCCAGCUUACAUUAUCCUGUUUCCAUGAAUUCUCAUUGUACAUGACCGGGCAUGAGGUAUGAAUAUAAUAUAGAAUGAGACUGAGUCUGGCAGCCACACAUGAAAAUAAGACUGAUUUCUUUUUACAAUCACUUAAAGAGAAAUUGAUUCCUGAAUUAUCUAAAAUAGACCAUAAGAGCUGUAGGAAUUCAGAGAGGGGGCAAUCAGUAAGGACUGAAGGCGUGAAAAGAGAUCAUUAUAUAUUUUAGCAAUUUCAAGCUGGCAGGUGUGUACAGGAAGACUUUCCAAGGGGGUUGUGGGGAAAAAUUUAAGUGAGUCAAUUUAUUGUUCCUCAUCUUCUGCAUCUUUUCUAAAACUCAUCGUCCUGAGAAAGCAGAUGAGACAGCACUCCUUUCCUUCCUCCUGUUUCCCAAUCUGUCUUCCCACCUUAUGUAGGACAAGUGUGCCUUCACCCGUCCUUCAUCUUGUUAUAAUUUGUAUGACAGGUGCGUAGAAACCUCCAAGUAGCCAAACAACCAAAAGGGCAUCUUCUUUUGGAACUUUGGUUGCAUCAUCCUUUAAGCAAUAAACUGUUUCCCUUUGAACAUUUUUUUUUCAGGUGAUGGUAAUCACACCACAUUUUUUUUUUUUGGUUUUUGUUUUUUAAUAUUUCUUCUAAAGGAUCUUAUUUCUAAAAGCAAAAAAAGGCAAAACAAGGGAAAUCACUACUUUUGAUCAGUCUAAGAAACAAGCAUAAUGUUAUCUCUGGCUCACAGGCAAAAAUCUGAAAAAAUUAGUUUUACCAGUUCUUGUCUAGUAAGAAGUUUCAGUUCAUUUCAUACUCAAAUUGAGUUGAAACAGACACAGAAAAAUAUUAUUUGAUUUGGUAAAUCCAUAUUUAUUAUUAUUUGGGCACAAGUUUCCUCACUGCCACUCAUUUCCCCUUCAUUUAUGUGUUACCAUUAUAUCCUUAUUGCCUUGACAGAAACUUGUCAUAAGCUGCAUAAGUGACCCCCCCUAAAUAAUUAUUUUUACACCAUUUUGUAAACCCGUUACCUACUAGUCAUAUAAUACCUUCUCUUCUUUUUGCUGUUUUUUCCACAAAGUAGAUAAAACUACACUCUUAAAAGCAUCUACUUAUGUACCUGUUAAGAUAAAAGUGUUCCCAAAAUAGAAUCUAAGAUAUAACACCUGAAACUUUAGGAAACCGUUUCAUUUAAUUAGAAUUUAGUAUUUCCAUCUUAGAUGGUGACAUAUUCUUUUAAUUCUGACAGAUGUAUGAUUUUAAACUUACAGUUUAAAUCUUGAAAUGAAAUUAUAAACCUGUAUAUAAUAUUUUUAUUAUACCAAUUUCUGCCCAUCUGUAAUGUCUUCUUAUGGCAUUUUAACAUGACAUAAAUACUUGAAAUUGGUCUUUGGUCACAACAAGAAAAAUCAUGAAACACACAUUUUUAAGGGGGUUUUUAGCUCCAAAACCAAAAUACCUCUAAGCUAAAGAGAAAUAAGAACAAUUAAUCAUCACUUGAUAAGCCUUUUGGGGGUUAUUUCCAGAGAAUGAGAAAAUGAUUACUCCAAUGAGUAACACAUCCUUUUGCAAAUGAGAUGGUUUCUAAUCCUUAAAUAAAUUUUAAGGGGAUGGAAAAAUUGUGAGAAAGAUUUGGCAAAAUUCCAUCCACUCAUUUAUUUGUGUAAAAAGGUUCUUUGGUAUCUACCCAUAAUAACAAAAAACAGGAAUAGAAUGGGUGGUGAACUCUAUCUCACUUUACCAAAAAGUUAUCCAUGAUGUAAUUUAAAAUGUUUUUAAAGCCCCCAUCCAUCUAUUAAGAGGUACAGUCCAAUAAAAUUUUACUUUUUAUGCAGGCAGAUAUUCAUCAUAAUUUUAUUUAUAGUUAUUUUGCUUUCAUAUCCCAAUUCAAUUAUUAUUUCCCUGAUCCUCCUGACUUGAUCAGUUCCCCCAUCACAUGUCUCAGGUCCUCUAUUUGGUAGAGUUUAGAUAAUUGUAAUUUUGCAUGUGUUUAUAAAAUUAUUUCAUUAAUAACUAUAUCACUGGUAGAUGGUAAGCCCCAUCAGGAAGAAGUAUCUUUUUUACUUUCUUUUUCCCCCGUACAAUUACAUUUCCAGAGUAACAUAGUACCUGGAACAGUGUAAGUAUUUGGUAAAGUUUAUUUGAAUAAAUAAAUAAUAAAUGAGACACUCGUGGGUCUUGGGCCUGAGCCGGUAAUUCUCCCCUUAGGUGGUGGCAAUAACUCAUCCAGUAAGUUCCAGUUCCUUCAUCCCCUCCCCCCAACCCAAGGCCUAACCCUCUCAGGUGUCCUGCAGUUGUAACCAGGGAUGCUACCCAACAGGGUGCUAGCAAAACUCAUUCCUAUCCUAACCAUCGCCUUGAUUCUGGGAAGCUGUCUUGGAAGCAACAAGUCCUACAGUGAGUUCAGAAACUAGGACUGGAAAGAGAGCCCCAUCACUACUUUGUAAGAGUUUACUAAAAGAAAUCAACGGCAUCAUGUUAUCUAACUGCCAGUCAAGAAAGAAGAUGCCCAUAACUAGUUACUGUCCGUUGCUUAUUUGUACAAUCAACCUGUUACCAGACCAGAGCAUCAAAUUUGGGAUGUUUCACAAGUAAGCCUUCUUUUCUCUUAACCAUAAUAUCCUUAUUUCAGAUCCAUGCCAUGUGUGACCUGACUUAUUGUAUGAACUUUGUAUCAUAAAAAUAGAUUUAAACAUUUUAAAUUUCUUCAUUAAA